GAAACCAGGAGAAAGAAAACUUCUAAACCAUUUGCAUGCCAACGAAUAAAAAAGUGCAAGCACCCCUUCCAAUCUCAUCCUUGCAUUGAAAUGCUAAAAUAUACUCAGUAGCUUUAAGUGUAUAUAUACACAGCACCAGAUACCCAUUAUAGCAGUACUUGUACCUUGAGUUUUCACAUACAUUGCAGUUAGUGUUGCUUCUGCUAGAAAAAUGGCCAAGACUGAGAACCAAGAGAACCAACCCCCUCCAGGGUACCCAAGUGAAAAUCCUCCAACGGUGAAGAAGAAGUGGUUUCGUGGCACUAAGAAGAGAGGAGAGAAGGGCUGCAUUGAGGCUUGCCUUGCUGCUCUGUGUUGCUGUUUUGUCUGUGAAGAAUGCUGCUGAAAGAUGACUCUUUUAGGGCAAUAUUAUCUGCAUAAGAACGCUAUGUCAAUCAUCAUGGCUACGAGCUAGCUUUGUAAUAUUAUUUCCUACAUCAUGUAACUUGUCGUAUAGUUGAUGUUUUUUUUUUUUUUUUUGGGUUAGGCGUAUAGUUGAUGUUACAUGUGAUAUUCAACUAGAGUGCUAAUAAAAAUUUACGUGUAUGC